rnacentral:sRNA from 1 species
GAUUGUCGGGAGGACCCUGGGCAAAGACGCCUACCCUGCCAUGCUGCGCCAUCUGCCCUCCAGGCUGCCAGUCAAGAUGUGGGGCAGGACUUUGGAGAAACAGUCAUGGAGGGACAGCAGUCAGACCCCUCCCCCAUGUCUUAUCUGUAGACUUGACCACAUCGUGAUGACGGUGAAGAGCAUCAAAGACACCACCAUGUUUUAUUCCAAGAUCCUGGGCAUGGAGGUCAUGACUUUUAAGGUAAGCACUUCCCCAAAUGCCAAAAUUCAGGUGGGCUAAAAUUUGUUGAUAACACUUUAACAUAUAACUUAACUUUAAAAGGAAAACCACAGGAAAUCUGAGAGAAAAUAUAAAGAGAUCAAUAGAGGAGAUUCCAAACUGAAUAUUUGGACUUCCAGAGAGAGAAUGGAGAAAAAAGAGAGGAGGAAAUUAUCAUAGAAACAAUGCAAGAUAACUUUGCAGUCUCUACAUGGAAAAGGUUAACCAAGUAUCCAGCAUGUUGACA